rnacentral:rRNA from 1 species
UGGGGAAUAUUGGACAAUGGAGGAAACUCUGAUCCAGCAAUUCUGUGUGUGUGAAGAAGGUUUUAGGACUGUAAAACACUUUUAGUAGGGAAGAAAAAAAUGACGGUACCUACAGAAGAAGCAACGGCUAAAUACGUGCCAGCAGCCGCGGUAAUACGUAUGUUGCGAGCGUUAUCCGGAAUUAUUGGGCUUAAAGGGCAUCUAGGCGGUAAGACAAGUUGAAGGUGAAAACCUGUGGCUCAACCAUAGGCUUGCCUACAAAACUGUUGAACUAGAGUACUGGAAAGGUGGGUGGAACUACACGAGUAGAGGUGAAAUUCGUAGAUAUGUGUAGGAAUGCCGAUGAUGAAGAUAACUCACUGGACAGUAACUGACGCUGAAGUGCGAAAGCUAGGGGAGCAAACAGG